rnacentral:rRNA from 1 species
AUCAUUGUUGUUUAAUUCGAUGAUACGCGAAGAACCUUACCAGGUCUUGACAUCCCCGCAAUGCUCUGGAGACAGAGCGGAGGUAUCCGGGGAGACAGGUGGUGCAUGGUUGUCGUCAGCUCGUGUCGUGAGAUGUUGGGUUAAGUCCCGCAACGAGCGCAACCCCUACGUUUAGUUGCUAACAGGUGAAGCUGAGCACUCUAGACGAACUGCCGUUGACAAACGGAGGAAGUGGGAUGACGUCAAAUCAUCAUGCCCCUUAUGUUCUGGGCUACACACGUGCUACAAUGGCCGGUACAGACGGAGGCGAAGCCGCGAGGCGGAGCAAAUCCGAAAAAGCCGGUCUCAGUUCGGAUUGCAGGCUGCAAUUCGCCUGCAUGAAGUCGGAAUCGCUAGUAAUCGCAGGUCAGCAUACUGCGGUGAAUACGUUCCCGGGCCUU